rnacentral:rRNA from 1 species
ACUCCUACGGGAGGCAGCAGUGGGGAAUAUUGCACAAUGGGCGCAAGCCUGAUGCAGCCAUGCCGCGUGUAUGAAGAAGGCCUUCGGGUUGUAAAGUACUUUCAGCAGUGAGGAAGGUGGAUAUGUUAAUAGCAUAUUCAUUUGACGUUAGCUGCAGAAGAAGCACCGGCUAACUCCGUGCCAGCAGCCGCGGUAAUACGGAGGGUGCGAGCGUUAAUCGGAAUUACUGGGCGUAAAGCGCAUGCAGGUGGUUUGUUAAGUCAGAUGUGAAAGCCCGGGGCUCAACCUCGGAAUUGCAUUUGAAACUGGCAAACUAGAGUACUGUAGAGGGGGGUAGAAUUUCAGGUGUAGCGGUGAAAUGCGUAGAGAUCUGAAGGAAUACCGGUGGCGAAGGCGGCCCCCUGGACAGAUACUGACACUCAGAUGCGAAAGCGUGGGGAGCAAACAGGAUUAGAUACCCUGGUAGCCUCUGC